AUCCCCGUCUUUGUGCGGCCGACUACCGGCGCCGUGUCCCGUCAUUCGUGCGGCUUAUGCUGCUGUUGCCUUUCAAGUGCUUGCGUGCUGGUACCYGACCUACGGGAAGUGGUGCUUCGUACAUAGUUACCUCGCGGUGGACACCUUCCGGUGUGCCGCUGCGGCCUAAUGGCGCUUGCGGCGUUUCCUCGUGGCUCCGGCAUGCUUACGUGCCUAGUGCUACCAAGGCAGCCUCGCUCCCGCUGUUGGUCUCGGAUGUUGCUCACGAUAAAGGCUCAUGGCCCUUUUGGUUGCCUCGACCCGACCCUUAAGCUGCUCUCCGAAUUUGAGAACAACCGUGAACAGGUGUUGCCUCUACCUCUACACAGUUAGUGUUAGGAUACGCAACAUUCUGCGCCGAUCCUCAAUCAAGUAGGAUGAGCUUGGCCCGCUCAAUCGCGACAACCGGCUCGGCCGUUGCCUCAGCCUUGACACGCAAGUGGACGGGCGGACAAAGACCGACGCUGGACGUCAACGAGGACGUGCUACCUGGUUGAUCCUGCCAGUAGUC
rnacentral:misc_RNA from 1 species